UGUGAAAACAUGGCAAGCUUUAAAACAUGGAAAAAGGGAGGUGGGUACGAUGUUUUAUAUAUACUCUAAAAAAAUCAGUUUCUGAAUGUUGCAGUCCACAGGAUGCUGUCUCAGAAAAAUGCAUCAUUUAAAUGCUAGUUAAUACGCAAAAUGCAUCAUUUUCACAUGAUUUUUAAUUUUUAGAUCUUCAAUUUUUAGAAUUCCAAAUUAAUCAACCCUUUUUGCUUUUGCUAAUUCAUCACUAAUGGCUCUAAGAUUUAUGUGCUAACUCCAAAGAAAUGCCUAAACACUGUUACUUGCCAGAAAAUGCUGCAAUAAUGUAAACCAAAUAAACUGCUUUAUUCUUCCCAUUUUAUAACCUUAGAGUUUCAACAUAUUUAAAAAACAGUAAUCUGUUAAAAAAUUGCAUUCAGAUUUAUUUUAAUUAGAGAAAAAUCUCAAUCAUGAUUUUUUCAGCAUGAACCAGUUGUAAAAUAUAUAAUAAAGACAUUGUGAGAUUAUUUCUUUUAUUAUUUCCCUUACAUGGUUAUUCUUUGUAUAAGAUGUAUGCCUUUAUAGUUUUGUUGUUGUUUCCUACAUGCCAGGCAUAUUUUCUAUUCCAUUAGAAGGAAAAGAAGUAGGGAGAGAGAAGAGAAUUUAUCUUUGAAAAUUGGUAAGAUCUCAUUUUCCAUGCUCCUAUCAACUGCAUUUUUUCCAGUAUUAGCAGAAUGUGCAGGAUUUGGCUUUAUCCUAUUUCAGAAGUAGACCUAAUUAAGUGCUUAUUGUAUAAAUGAGUGUUUUUAAGACCUGAGCAGUUGCAAUAAAAUUUAGAAGAUUAAAAAUGAAAUGUUAUUCUGUAAUGACAGACUGAACUGAAACGGUGCAAUAGGCAUUGGCUUGUGCAGAUCCUCUUGCAGAAAAAGUACUCUAGUUCUUGGCAUUCAGCAAAUGCCAGUUGUGUGCAUCCCAGUUUGCAAAAACACACUUUUCUCAAAACUAUGAGAAAUGGAGAUUUUUAAAAAAGGUAAAAAUAUACUUCUUAUUUUUAUAAUAAAUAAAAAUAAUACCGUUAAACACAAGGUAAUGCAUAAGGCUGCAUUUUGAACACUAUUAAGUACUCCAGCACUAGAUUUGUGCAAGACAGCCUCUCAUACAUGUCUAAUAAAAAUCAAAUUGUAUUGCUAACUACUUGUGGAUUUUGGUUGUGCUGAGAAAAACUUGCACAAACAAUUUUUGUUAUAAAUUAGGAUGUGUCUAAUGGAACAUUGAUUUGUGUUAGAUGAAAGUCAUUACUUUAAAGAUAAUUAUAGUUCUUUUUUUCCUCUGUCUCAUAAAUCUGAUGCUGGCCCUUUUAAUUCCUACUUGUUCUGUCAGGAGGAAGAAUACAGAGCUAAAUCCAGCAGACCUUAUUUUGGCAAAACUCCCACUGAAGUCAGUAAGGGUUUUGUGAGAGUAAGGACUGCAUGAUUUGUCUCACAGUUCCUGCUGAUUAUUUGGAGUAUGAUUGCUAACACCAGAGCUCCUCACCGAGUUUGACGUUACCGCGGCACCGUGGCUGACAGCGUGGUUUUUUUUGUUACAAUCGUGAAAAUCAGUGUAAUGCGACUGUGAAAAAUACCCUUUUCACCCAAUGACCUUGGAAUAAGAUGGGCUGCCUUGGGGUUUUGGAGACUGUUGCUGUGGAACUAACGCUAAAGAAAGAGAGACACUGAGAAUGUGGAGAACCCCUUUUAAAUUCAUACUGAAGAUUUAAAGAACUCUUUAAACAAGCUGAAAGUAGGUCAAAUUCUGAUUGCUAAAAAACAAUUAAUCAAUUGGGUGUUGUCAAGACAGGUAGUACCUUGUGACAAAAUGUUGAUUCAUGAAGUAUUUCCUCACUGGAACCCUGACACGUCCCUGAAAAAAAAAAAUCUGUUCCCAUUACCGAUUGUGAUAGGGAGCUGAAGAGUUAACAGCAUUCCUUCAGCAGGAGACCUAGCGCUACAAAAGAUAAUGUAGGGCAAACGUUGAGAAUGAGUUCUUUGUCUUUUUCACUUAAAUCUGAGCAAAUCCAGGCAGGGCCAAUGAGAGAAAGCAGAUCUCUAAGCAUCCAUGCUGUCCUCAUCCACAACCAAGAUGACGGCGUUCCAGUUUCCCACACCACCGCGGCCAUGUGUCACGACCUUUCUCCCAAGGUGACACCUUUCAGGCGACAGCACUUCAGCCUCUGCGGCCUCCCAGCCGUGUCUGCCUGCCUUCUCGUGGCCGCUGACUCCAGGCUCACCAGACACUGCCAGAGUGGUGAUUUAGGAACUGGAGCGAUACUGCCAAGUUGCUCGGCUUGGAGCACUUGCUGAGGACAGCCACUGGGUAUAACAGAGAAUUUUCAGUCGCUGUUGAUUUGGGCCAGACAAGAAACAGUGAUCUAAGAAAAAAAGGCUCUCGACUUCAUUUCCAGCUCCUGAACCAGCAAGUCAUUUGGAGAACAGUUUUUCAUGCUCAUCAUAAGGCCAUUUUCUAGGCUCUGAACUGCUCUAAAUGCUUCUGCCGUAUUGUGUUUUGUAACAGUGAUCACCAUCACAGCUGUAGGAAAGCCUUAUCAAGAAAGCUCUGGAAAUCACUAUAUUUAAACAUAAUAAAACACAAUAGCAGCACCUAACUGUGAUGUCUGUAGGCAACUAUACAUGGCUUCACUCGUAGUAAUACCUAUGCGAAUAAAGGUGUACAACACUAUGUGCAAAUCUCCUGUGGCUCUAGGGACAGUUGACGUCAACGUGACUAACUAAUGCAAAGCUGCACAACACUACAGGAGUUUUUAUAGCUGGAAUACUUUCUCAUCCAGUUCUGGAUAAAGAUAAGGAGAAGCCUUUUGAAGCAAAGUAAGCUGCUGCUCGUAAGUGACUGCUCUGAUCGGUGUUCCAAAUGGAAUAAAUUGGUAAGUGCUGAGACCCCAAGUUUAACUGUGCACAUUUUUUAUUUAUUUCAGCCUUCACAGGGGAAAGACAAGUAUUUUUUCUCUAUGGUAUGUUUAAUCUUAUUAAUUAACCAGCUAGACUAUUAAUAAUAACAACAGAAAAAAAAAAAACAGAAGUAAGCUUUUUGUUGCAAGUUAGGAAGUAAAGAUACAAUUGCAAAACUCAAAGAUUUUUGAAUGCUCCCAUCAAAUCCCAAACUAUGUGGAAAAGCCAGUGAACAGAAUCCAUUAAAUUUGCAUUUAUUAAAUGUCCACUUAUAUAAAAGCUAAAAAUAGCUUGAGUUUUUCCAAUUUUCUUUUCAUAACAGUUAUUAUGAUUUUCUGCUUCGUCUCAGAAAGUAAUUUUGCUGCUGCUGUAGUGUAUAAUCUGUGUGCCCUUUCUUGGUGCAGUACAAAUGACAGAGCACUAAUCAGAUCAGAGCAACAAUCACGUCAUCGUUGAGUAACUAGCAAUAAACUGUUUUUACAAGGAAGAAAGAUGAACUAUUUUUAGGGUAACUCUGAACUGAAAAACAGAAAAUGAUUAUACUGUCUUACUCUACAUCAUUGCUAUGAAUUUCAAAAGCAUUACUUUUUCCUGGGCAGCAGACUAAUCCACAUAAUAAAUCUCUGUAUAAAUGGUCUAGUCAAAGAGAGCUUUUAGGAUUUUGGUAAAAGUUUUGAAUUGAAAUGUAUGAUAUCCCCUUUCCCUCCCCCUUUUUCUGCUGGCUUUGAACCACAGGCAGUCCUUCCGCACUGCAUCCUAAGUAACCUAGAUGCCCGUUUUUGGUGAUUAUCCCAAGUUUUCAGCACGUCUUAUGUCUAGAUGUCUAUGUUAUCUUACUAUUGGGGGCAUUUAUUCAGCAAACCCUCAUUUGGAAGUCCAGGUACAUGACUCCCAUAACCUUCAGACCUAUAGGCUCUACAAUGCAAUGCAGGUGAUGUAUGGUAACGAUGGUGAUGGUGGUACAUGAUGGUAAUGAUGCUACAGAGCUAGCAAGAAGAAAAUUUACAGAUGGCUCUAGAGAUGACUGUGCCCACACCGUGUAGUCUGCACAUGCCUUUUUCCUGAGCUUCUCCCCUUCUGGUUGAUACGUUUUCCCUUCAGCGCCUUACUCCAGCCUGUUCUCUUGCUGCCAUCGUGGAAGCAGCCUCUGGUGGCAACGCAUCGCCUUCCCCUCACUGCAGCUAACUCUACCUGUGCCUGUGUCCUACACAGCGGCCUUCCCUUCAUGCUCCGUGAAAAUGUGCGUAGGGGAGAAUGUGCUGCUUCUCCUUGUCAUGGGAAAGAUUAGCGUGCAGCUGUUGAGAAAGACUAUCUUCAGCUAUUCAGCAGUGUGGGAGGGCUUACAUGAGGAUGUCCUGAGCAUCUGUGGACGUGCUCCUUAGGCAUUGGUGGGGUUUUGAACCUUCUGGGGGGCAUCUGAAAUAAAUGUCAUUAAAUGACCCUGAGCUUUUCAAACCUCUUUUUCCUGUAACCCAGCAAGAAACUUGGCACAAAGCAUUUACCUUCUAUUACUUCUUUCACCUACAAAAUGUGAAAAAUAAAACCAUGCAGCCAAAAUGGAGUCAUCAUAUUUUAUUUUAGUUCUGUUAUCAAAUAUAUUUAAUGUAAAGGCAAACUAGGAACUGUACAGUUACCAGACUCUGUCUUGAUAGAGAAAACAGCAGCAGAUUUCAUAGGUAUGUAUCAGAGAAAACCAAGUAAUUUUUUGUGUCCAAAUUACAUCUGAAAGAACUAUCAGUGAUAAAGUCCAUUCUACUUUAGGCAGGAAAUAGGGGAAAAAAAAAAAAAGAAAAAAAAAAGAAGAA